UACAUGGGGUGCAAACGUUGCUCGGAAUUAUUGGGCGUAAAGCGCACGUAGGCGGUUCGUUAAGUCGGAUGUGAAAGCCCUCGGCUCAACUGAGGAAGUGCACCCGAAACUGGCGAGCUUGAGUACGAAAGAGGAUCGCGGAAUUCCCGGUGUAGAGGUGAAAUUCGUAGAUAUCGGGAGGAACACCGGUGGCGAAGGCGGCGACCUGGGUAGAUACUGACGCUGAGGCGCGAAAGCGUGGGGAGCGAACAGG
rnacentral:rRNA from 1 species